AACAUCCUCCCGAACUCCGAAUCGUCAGGGAAAAGAAAAAAAACACCGCUGCCCCGACCCGCUACCCAACCCUCCCGCCUCCUCCCCCGAGCGCCUCACCCCGCCGCCGCCCUCGAAUCCCGCCGCCGCACAUGCCCUCACCGGAACCCGCCGCUGCGUGCGCCCUCGCCGAAACCCGCCGCUGUGCGCGCCCUCGCGGGAACCCCCGCCGCCACGAGCCCCCUGCCGCCGUGCGCCCUCCCCGGACGCCCCGCCGCAGCCCGCCCUCCCCGGACCCCCGGGCCGCCGUGCCACCACCGGGAUCCAAUCGCCAACGAGAGCCUCUCCGCGACCCCCCGCCCAGUUGUGGUCGUCGCCUGAUGCCUCGAUGCCGCCGAACGCCGUCUUCCUUCCGGCAUCCACGCGCCGUCCGAGCGCCGCCGUGCCUUCUCGCACCAGUGCGUCACCCCCGGUCUCCUCCCGCCAUGCCCCUCUCCUGCUAGCAGUCCGGACGGAACCCCUGACUAGUUAGGUUGGCCCAGGCGAGGCUCCACCGCCGCCGCGCAGCCUCCUCCCGGUGGGGCUCCACAACCGCAGCACGAAGGGCGUUCAUUGGAGCCACCUCUGGCCGUUCAAGUACGCAGCCCGUUCAAGUACGCAGCCCCUGGAGGUACAACAGCCACAGCUUGUGGAAAUUACUGCAGCAACGUUCAUCGUCUCCACCUCGUACAUUUGAUUUUGUACCCUUUUGUCAUUUUUCACCCAUGUUAUUUCAGCAAGAUGGUUGUUGAAUGCUUGACCUGCUAUGGUACUACAAUAGGGAGGCCAAAAUUGAACUUCACCAAAAUCUAGAAAAAACAGGAUGAGGAAGGGCGCAGCCAAGUCCAAUGUGUUCUCGUGUUGAUGAAGUAAUUCAAGGAGCAGGUGGUUUCAUUCGUAUGAAGCACCAACAAUAAAAUCUUCAUCCCCAUGUUUGUUUCUUGUUUUAUUUCAAGCUGCCACUAACCAUUGGCAUUUUUUGUCUGAUGCUCCACGUCUUGUAAGUGUCCACUAAAAAAACAGAAUUUUAUGCAAUACCAGCAAACAGUAAGUGCGAACUUCUCCGUUUACAUUCAUCUAAAGAAGUACGUAUUUUUUAAAGUAAUCUGGAAGUUAAAAGAUUAUAGUCUAGAGAGUUCAAUCAUUGGAUUUUGGGAAGAAUUCAUCUUACUGAUAAAUAAUGAAUAGAGAAAAAAAUUACAAAAUAGGUUUUGGGCCAGUACUAAAUAGGUUAGGAAUUGUUUGGCGUUGGUGGGGUGUUGGAGCGUUACUACUACUUGGUUCACUUCCAUUUCAAGGGUCUUGCUUGAAGAUAUCUUUGAAGCCAUAAACACAGUUGUUUUGAUUUCAAAUUGCGGUCCAUGGGUUGAGCUAUGAAGCUGAAGUUGUUGUUAUGCUUCUGAAUAUCUACUCUUUCCUGUAGGUGUUGAUCCUGGUGCUUGUCGCCAUUCACGAGGAAAGAUAGUCGGUCUUUGAACGGGUGGGUGAUCUUGCUGUUGCUGGGAUACUAUUCAACAUGGGGAUUCGAUCUCCCUUGAGGUGCAGUGUAGCAUGAUAUAUGCUGCUGCCUCUUUUGGAUUUAUUGUUGAGAUGGUCGCUCAAGCUCAAUAUUGAUUAGUCCUUCCCCUAGAUCUUUCCCUACAUGCUCUAUAGGUCAUCAGUAAGAACAAAAAGUAUGCCUCUAAGCUGCCUGUGUUUAUUCCACAAAAUAUAAGUUAGUAUGGCUGCACACGGUCAACUGUUUUUGACCAGUUUCUGUAGUAAUUUGUAUGGCCGACAAUUUUCAGCAGUAAUUAACAUGGCUGCGGUCCAUUGUGUUUGAUUUUCAACAGGCCAACUUGAUUAAUGCUAGUGCAACUCAUCUUCAAAAGUGUACAUGGACGCAUUGUGAAAUUUGUUCCUGCUGUUGUUGUUUAGAUAGAUCACACUAGAACAUUUUGUAUGAACCAUUUACUCAAGUGAGAGAGAUAGGCUUCUUCGUAGUUCAUCUAUUUCCCGGCAAAAGUAGAAAAUGUAACGACAUUUGUUCCCUGUGUGAAUAAAUUUGUGUUCCUAUGUGAA